rnacentral:rRNA from 1 species
GAUGAACGCUGGCGGCGUGCCUAAUACAUGCAAGUCGAGCGAACAGACGAGGAGCUUGCUCCUCUGACGUUAGCGGCGGACGGGUGAGUAACACGUGGAUAACCUACCUAUAAGACUGGGAUAACUUCGGGAAACCGGAGCUAAUACCGGAUAAUAUAUUGAACCGCAUGGUUCAAUAGUGAAAGACGGUUUUGCUGUCACUUAUAGAUGGAUCCGCGCCGCAUUAGCUAGUUGGUAAGGUAACGGCUUACCAAGGCAACGAUGCGUAGCCGACCUGAGAGGGUGAUCGGCCACACUGGAACUGAGACACGGUCCAGACUCCUACGGGAGGUAGCAGUAGGGAAUCUUCCGCAAUGGGCGAAAGCUUGACGGAGCAACGCCGCGUGAGUGAUGAAGGUCUUCGGAUCGUAAAACUCUGUUAUUAGGGAAGAACAAAUGUGUAAGUAACUAUGCACGUCUUGACGGUACCUAAUCAGAAAGCCACGGCUAACUACGUG